rnacentral:lncRNA from 1 species
GAAUCAAUAAGUGAAAUAACUGAAUCUCUAUAUAAUAACCCAAGGAUUGGUAGUACAAGUCACGAGCCACUAAGACUUAAUCAGAUUUACAAGCUGGUACGAAGUAAUACAACAUCUGUUUGGAUUAUACAUAAAUAGAAUUCAAAUCUAAAGCUACCAAGGACAAGUGGUAGACAUAACCAGAAUGCAGGUACAUCUUCAACGUCGGCUUCCCCCGUACGCAACAGCAUCAACUCCAGGAUAUGCAUGCAAGGUGCAAAAGUGCAGUAUUAGUACAACCGACCACAUGUACUCAAUAAGUAUCAUAACUUACCUCAACGAGGUAAUAGAAGCAAGAAUUAUAAAUGAUACUUACAAUCACUUGUACAAGUUCAUAAAAUUCCAAAAAGUAUAGAACAUAUAUAUGAUCAAAUCAGGAAAACACAAAUAAAACCACCUUGGUGCUCAUAAUUCGUUUUAAUGUGUUUUGCUCGGUCGACAAUCCAUCAUAUAAGGAAGAUAUGCAAGUAAAUUAGGUAAAAAGUCAAGAAAAUUACAAAUAAUGAUGAUAUGCAAUAACCAAAUAUCAAUCUGUGUGCGCAACCCUAUCCCAAUAGAAAUCACAUCAUCGCUCUUCUGCCCAGAUCAUGAACCAAACCAAUAACCAGCUCUCCCAGAAGUCACAUCAACUUCGGUUUCUCAUAAUCUACGUGUGUGCCAUCAAGAGAGAAACAUGAGAGGGUGAUCCUAGGGGGAUGGAUCCAUAUCCGCACGCAUGCACGACCAAUUCAACGUGCAAUCAGCCCACAUGGUUAGAGGCUCAAUAUCAUAAUCUGCCUGGCAUGGUCACAAGCUAUAUCAUAAUCUGUCCGGCGUGGUCACGGGGAUAGCAACACAAUUCCCCUGGCACAGUGACAGGCAUAACAACACAUACAAUCCGGCGUAGUUAUAUGCAUAACAACACAAUCCUCCCACGCAUGGUCACAAGCAUAAUAACACAAUCCGUCCGGCGUGGUCACAAGCAUCUAGUCCAAAUCAUAUUAUACAAAAGCAGAUAUACGAUUAUACAUGUAUAUGGUGAAUGAAUAUCAAAUUUCAUGCUCCUGGAGUAGUAUAAAUGCAUGCUAAAGUGUAGGAAUGUGCAAAGUGUGCUAUCAUAGCUCAAAUCGAUAAUUUCAUCACAUAAUAACAAUUAUCAUGUUUAUUCAGGGAAUUAACCUCUAUGUAACCUCAAACAUGGGUCAAAUAGUUCACAACAAGGUUACAAAUAUGAGAAACAUCAUAGCUUAAAGAUUAACAGUCAAUUCUAGGCAAAUCAUAGCCUAAGCACUACCUCGAAUACUGAUAAAUACCCCGGUGCUCGCACAUGGGCUCAACCCCACAUAUAUGCACACCUAUAGCACGUAACUAUCAUAAAUAAUUGAGGCAACUAGCGCCUUAACUAAGUUUAGAUAAGAUACUUACCUCAAACAAGCCAAAUCAAAUGCCAAGAAAGCCAAACAAUACUCUACAAUCUUCAUCCCAUGCAAAUCA